rnacentral:rRNA from 1 species
UACGAGAGGCCCAAACGUUAUUCGGAAUUACUGGGCUUAAAGAGUCCGUAGGCGGCUCAGAAAGUGGGGUGUGAAAGCCCUCGGCUUAACCGAGGAAUUGCGCUCCAAACUCCUGAGCUCGAGGAACCUAGAGGUGAGCGGAACUGAUGGUGGAGCGGUGAAAUGCGUUGAUAUCAUCAGGAACACCGGAGGCGAAGGCGGCUCACUGGGGGUUUUCUGACGCUGAGGGACGAAAGCUAGGGGAGCAAACGGG